rnacentral:misc_RNA from 1 species
CGCACAUUGCGCCCAUUAGUAUUCUAGUGGGCAUGCCUGUUCGAGCGUCAUUUCGACCCUUAAGCCUGGCUUAGUGUUGGGAAUCUACUGGUAGCCUGCUGCCCUGUAGGUCCUGAAAAACAACGGCGGAUCUGUGGUGUCCUCUGAGCGUAGUAACUUUUCUCGCUUCUCAGGCGCUGUAGCCCCUGCCGUUAAACCCCUAUUUUUUAAUGGUUGACCUCGGAUCAGGUAGGAAUACCCGCUGAACUUAA